UACGAAGGGGGAUAGCGUUGUUCGGAAUUACUGGGCGUAAAGCGCACGUAGGCGGACAUUUAAGUCAGGGGUGAAAUCCCAGAGCUCAACUCUGGAACUGCCUUUGAUACUGGGUGUCUUGAGUAUGGAAGAGGUGAGUGGAAUUCCGAGUGUAGAGGUGAAAUUCGUAGAUAUUCGGAGGAACACCAGUGGCGAAGGCGGCUCACUGGUCCAUUACUGACGCUGAGGUGCGAAAGCGUGGGGAGCAAACAGG
rnacentral:rRNA from 1 species